ACGUAGGAGGCAAGCGUUAUCCGGAGUUACUGGGCGUAAAGGGCGUGCAGGCGGUUGGCUAAGUUCGUUGUGAAAGCGCCCAGGCUUAACCGGGCGAGGACAAUGAAGACUGGUCAGCUAGAGGACGGUAGAGGGGUGAGGAAUUCCGGGUGUAGUGGUGAAAUGCGUAGAGAUCCGGAGGAACACCAGAGGCGAAGGCAAUCCCCUGGGCCUGCACUGACGCUAAGACGCGACAGCACGGGGAGCGAACGG
rnacentral:rRNA from 1 species